UAUUUAAGUGGCUUUAUAGUGGAAA
rnacentral:tRNA from 1 species